UACGGGGGGGGCAAGCGUUGUUCGGAAUUACUGGGCGUAAAGGGCUCGUAGGUGGCCAACUAAGUCAGACGUGAAAUCCCUCGGCUUAACCGGGGAACUGCGUCUAAUACUGGAUGGCUUGAGUUUGGGAGAGGGAUGCGGAAUUCCAGGUGUAGCGGUGAAAUGCGUAGAUAUCUGGAGGAACACCGGUGGCGAAGGCGGCAUCCUGGACCAAUACUGACACUGAGGAGCGAAAGCCAGGGGAGCAAACGGG
rnacentral:rRNA from 1 species